rnacentral:tRNA from 2 species
CGGGGCGUGGUGUAGUGGUUUAACAUGCGUGCUUUGGGAGCACGAGAUCGCCAGUUCAAAUCUGGCCGCCCCGA